rnacentral:rRNA from 1 species
UACGGGGGGUGCAAGCGUUAUCCGGAUUCACUGGGUUUAAAGGGUGCGUAGGUGGCUAUUUAAGUCAGUGGUGAAAGCCCGCGGCUCAACCGUGGAAUUGCCAUUGAAACUGAAUAGCUUGAGUACAGUUGAAGUGGGCGGAAUACAUCAUGUAGCGGUGAAAUGCUUAGAUAUGAUGUAGAACACCGAUUGCGAAGGCAGCUCACUAAGCUGUAACUGACACUGAGGCACGAAAGCGUGGGUAGCGAACAGG